rnacentral:lncRNA from 1 species
CCAUCAGCAGCUUCUUCCCCAACUUCCCUCUUUGGAAUAACUCCAUCUUAGUCACCAGCCCAGUGACCACCCUGCUUUAGUCAAAUGGCUGGUUGACUGAAUCUAAUAUGAUAAUUUGAAGGACAACACUCUGUCAAGUCAGCAGCUUACUGUUUUACACAGUUAGGUAUUCCAAUUUUCAAGGAAUGAUUUCUAACUCUGCAUCACCACUCCAGUUAAACACCAUGUACAUUCUUGUGGCCUCCACAUUAGGUCCUUGUGGUAUGUUUUCCAAACCUCCACAGACUCACAUUGAUUUAUGUCUAAGAAAGAAGCAACAUUUUUAAGAACUCAAUUAUUGUAGGGCUCUUAUAGUACUCUGCUUCAAAAGUUAGUUUUGGGCAGAGACUACUCAAAGAACAGAUGUCAAGCAACUUCAAAACAGUAAGCCUUACACUUUAUUGCCAUCUUCCUUUUAAUCUUCAGCCUCAAACUCUCAAAUACUUGAGAGGGUUCCAGUCUUUAGGAAAUAUUAAUAUACUCUCACAGUUUAUUAAAUUGAUGGCUCUGUUGUAAAGAUUAUUAUGCCAGAUCACUAGUUCUCAAAGUGUGGUCCCCAGUCCAGCAGUCUCAGGACCACCUGGGAACUCGCUUUAGAAAUGCAAAUUCUCGGGUCCCAACAUGGCCUACCGAAACAGAAACUCUGAGACUGGGGUCUAGAAAUCAGAAUUUUAACUAGUGAUGCUGAUGCAGACAAAAGUUUGACAACUUCUCCAGAAACGUGAACCUGAUUAAGAACAAAAUAUUUAACUGUUUAUUAAGUGCUAGUUUAAAAUAUGAGGCAAAAAAGCUUUGGAUAUCUGGAUAGUAAAUUCCCCGGGGCAGAAAAUGACCCUUAUAUGGCUUCAUCUUGCUCAGGGAAGCCUGAAAUUGUGGUGAUCUGAUGAUGUCACUGCCACAUGAAGAGAGGACAUCUUUGAGAAGUAAACAAUCCACGCACCCGAGCAGAGAGUUUGAAAUGUCACCACUCAACUUCCUCGCCAUGAUGACAGAGGCAGCAGUCUCUUGAGGGAAUUAAACAACAUGCUGAAAUUAAGAAUCUGAUCCCUUUCUCUGAUCUGUUGGCAAAUCUGGGAAAAGUCAAAACUAUUAGCAGAAGUGUAAUUUUAAAAAUCCCCAUAUGGGCUGAGCAUGGUGGCUCACUCCUGAAAUCCCAGCACUUUGGGAGGCCAAGGCAGGCAAAUUACCUUGGUCAGGAGUUCCAGACCAGCCUGGCCAAC